rnacentral:tRNA from 1 species
GAUUCGUUGUGACUCAGUGGUAGAGCAUUUGUUUGGCAUGCAGAAGGUCCCAGGUUCAAUCCUUGAUAUGUUCA